rnacentral:rRNA from 1 species
AUCUACAGCCAUACCACCCUGAACAAGCCUGAUCCCAUCCGAUCUCAGAAGCUAAGCAAGGUCAGGCCUGGUUAGUACUUGGAUGGGAGACCACCUAGGAAGACCAGGUGCUGUAGGUG